AUUGAACGCUGGCGGCAGGCCUAACACAUGCAAGUCGCACGAGUGGCGGACGGGUGAGUAAUGUCUGGGAAACUGCCUGAUGGAGGGGGAUAACUACUGGAAACGGUAGCUAAUACCGCAUACCAUCAGAUGUGCCCAGAUGGGUUUAGCUUGUUGGUGGGGUAACGGCUCACCAAGGCGACGAUCCCUAGCUGGUCUGAGAGGAUGACCAUCCACGCUGAAACGGAGUAACGGUCCAGACUCCUACGGGAGGCAGCAGUGGGGAAUAUUGCACUAUGGGCGCAAGCCUAAUGAAGCCAUGCCGCGUGUAUGAAGAGGGCCUUCGGGUUGUAAAGUACUUUCAGCGAGGAGGCGUUACCCGCAGAAGAAGCACCGGCUAACUCCGUGCCAGCAGCCGCGGUAAUAC
rnacentral:rRNA from 1 species